UUUGAAAUAAAUUUGACUUCAAAUUUGUAAUCAGUUAAUUGAUUUCAAAGGAAAAUCAACCAACCCCAUCAUCAUCAUCAUCCAUAAAAUGUUUUUUUUUUUCAACUUUGUUUUCACUGUAGUUUUGAUUGAUCUUUAAAUAUUUCUACCUGCAUAAAUUUAAUUUAAUUAAUUAUUAAUGAGAUUUUACAGUUCAUUUUGAGUUUUUUUUCUCCAAAAGAAAAAAAAAUUUUGGGUUGCCAUUAGUGAUAAGCACGACUGGCAUCAUCAUUCCCUUUCAAUUCCUUCAAACCCCUUUUUUUUCUCUCUUUUGUUCCUUUCUCUCUCUAACUUUUUCCCUCUCUACAAUUCAUGCUUUGUUUCGCUGUCUAAAGCUUCCAUUCCAAUUCUAUUUUUUUCCUUUCAAUCUACUUUUUUUGAGGGUUCUUCUUAGCCUUUAUUUUUUAACUCUCAAAACACUCUCAUAUAUAUUUUUUUCUUUAUUUUUUUUUGGAUCUGGGUUCUGCUUGCUUUCUGAUAAUCAUCUUCAACAACCAGGUAAUUCUUUUUUUUUGAACAUAAUUUUACUUUUUGGGGA
rnacentral:lncRNA from 1 species